UUUUUCGCACAGUUUUUCUGCACGUGUGUUUUUGUUUUGCACUGACACGUUUUUUUACUCCAUCUAGUUACAACUGGCGGCAACUGCUACUCAUAACGGAACCCGAGGCGCAAGUACACAUCGCCGGGAAGUCGACUUGCCACCUUAUGAUGAAGACUUUCGCCAAUUACUUGAAGAAAGAAAACAUAACCUACAUUCCGUGGGACACGACAUCUGACGGCGGAAAGAACAACACCGAAAACUUGAAGAUUUACCUAAAUUACAGGUAUACAAAUACGGAUGGACGCGAACGGCGUUACUUUAUGACACGCCAGCCUACGAUGAGUACGUUGGAGGUAGCGGGGGAUAUUUGCUAGCAAGCAACAUACAUUCAUACAUGAUAAUGGAAGGCUUUACGGUGGUUGGGAAGGAGUUAAUUCCAGAAGAGAGUCAUGAGGACAUGCUAUUACAGGAUGUAGGGAACGCAUUUGCAAGUGAGUUCGGUUUGACGUGUGUGUGUGUGGGUUUUUAUUUUUGUAACGUUUACUUGAUAAGUUGUUGACACUCAACUGCGCCUCUAGCGGAUAGCGUCAGAAACACAGAUAUUUUUACAAAAUUAUCAAGUAAACGUGAAGGUGAUCGUAAUGUAAAUCUUUGUUCAACUUGUAUUAGGUACUAGGACACUUUGUUUUAAUAUGCACAAUAAAAGUGUGUGUUACCAUGGUAAAAACAAUUUUUAUGGCUGGUCCUUAUUUCUUAAACUAAUGCGGCCGGUGGUUGGUUAAAUUAACAUGUUAUCGGUAUUUAUAUUUGAAAGUUUAAAACUAAACAAUAGUCCUUCAUGUACAAAACACGAAAAUAAAAUUUAUAAAUUUUAUUUUUGUAACACAGCACGUACCUAUUACGGAUUAUGUGAAGUGACGACCCAAUUUGACAGUGUUAGGUAUUUUGGCGGGCUUUUUAUUAUUUUAAACUUACAAUUUUUUAAACAUUUAGACUUACAAUAAAGAACUAUAAUAUAUUAAGUACAAUUUUUUAUCUAUGGUGUCGAAUCUAUGGUACAUUGAAUACUCUGCCAUACCAAUCAUACUGAUGAUAAUUCUGUCAUCAGUAUAAUUGGUCACACUGGAAAGGUAAUUUGAAUAAUUGGCUUUUAUCUAGUAGAUACUUUUUAAUAUUUUUUGUUAAUCUAUUAAUUGACUAAUGACUAAUUUACUUUGUGUUCCCCUAAUCUGGUAUCGAACGGUACAUAUAAGUAAAUGCUGUGUUCUGGUGAAGGUCAAAUAAUUUUGUGACAAUUUCACACUAUUAUAUACACUAUUAUAAUUAAGGCAAUUUGCCUUAAUUAUAAUAGUUUAUUGAAUGUGUGAAUUUAUUGAAUGAAUUCGCAUAUUUACUUUAUUGUGUGGUUUUUACACAUGCACGUGUUUAUUUUUUCGCACUGAAGCACAGAGAUUUCGGGUUAUUGGUUAAUAUUUAUAAUUUUUUUUUACAAAUUUAGCAACGUAAAGAAAAUUUUACGUUUCCUGUCAAACAAUAGUGACAAUAUUUGAAAUAUUCGUCGAAGGGAGAGGGAGAGGGAGACUUUGUACAAAAGUCGAUUAC
rnacentral:misc_RNA from 1 species